rnacentral:rRNA from 1 species
UACGUCCACAUCACGUUGAAACAACGGUUCCUGUACGAUCUCCGAAGUUAAGCAACGUCGAGCCUGGUCUGUACCCCGAUGUGUGACCUCUUGGGAAUACCAGGUGCU